AUAAACUUAGUGAUAUAAUCAGAGUAUUUCAACCAUGUCUUAUCAUCCAUAUAAAUUGUUGCACUACACUACACCGGUAAGAAGAUAUACAUCAUACAUGAACUUAACGGUAAACGGUUAAAAAACUAGUUGGUUUUAUAUUUAAAAUAUUGGUGGGUGGAGUUUGGCCUGAUGCGAUUACGUCGAAGAUAAGAGUAAUUAUUUUAUAAAAUAAUAAUAAGAGAUGCAGCAAUCAGAAUUACUUGUACAUGUUUGCAUGUUCUUCUUUCCUGAUUGGACUGGUUUUUUUGUAGUCUUCCCUGUUCCCCACUGGAGUCUCCCGUCCACACUGCUGGUCCAAAGUCCUAAUAAGUUGCAGUGUCGGCGAGUACACUGCUCCACUCAAUCAACUCAAGGACGCACCUAACUAGUGCGAGUCGUGUCUACUUGGUAACCACUAUUCUCUCUGAAUUGGUGUUCCUGCUGUUUUGGAAUUUCGUAUGAUUCAUUACCAGAUAGUAUUUACUGUUGAUGCAUUCAUUACCAGAUAGUAUUUUGCUGCACAUAUAUAUAAUCAGAAUCAAGAUUGAUGGAACACCAUACCAUACCAUACAUUUCUCCAGUAGAUCAUGUGGUUGUUGCAUGAUGCCCACUUCAUGAUAUUCCUUUAAAUUGUUUCUUCUUCUUCUUUGCGAAAGGGCAUUUAUAUCCGCCUUCCAAUGCUUACAUUUCAUACAAGAACCUGCAAUUUGCUGAAUCAAACUAAUCAAAAUUUCGAUGCAAAUUCAUUAAGCGGGAGCUCCAUUCAUCAGUUAAUCUAUGUGCGUUACAUAAUUAUCCAAUCUAUAACAAUGAGGUCAUCCAAACCUCCCACUCUCUAUAUAUGCGACCAAAGUCGAAUAAAUAGCUUAAACCAACGAUCAAAAGCAGUAUGAUGUGUAUUAUAAUAUAUUUAAUCAUGCGCACUUUAUUACCAUCCUAUCCAACUCACGUACUCAUAUUUAUGGCAUCCAACAUGGCUUAGGUGUACAAAAGAUGAAUUCGAGAUCAUCAAAAUUUGUGGAGCUACGGUGUAAGAUCCUAUGUCGGUCAAUAUGUACCAUUCAUGUGCUCUCCAAGUCUCAUUUAUUCUUUUUACGCCUUCUCCAUCAUAUUCCCCUCAUUCCGUCGGAGUUAAUUCAUUACAUGAUUGAUGUGGAUGCCAACGGUCAUGUCUAUAUAGAUGAGGACGAAUCCAUAGAGAAAUUACUAUUGUCCUCUAGCUAUUCCACCGACUGCUCUUUCCGGCCUUAGUACCAUAGGACACCUCCCUCUCGCACCCAACCCUGGUGUGUGGCGACAUCUGAUGUCCAUUGCCCCUGACUGACAAAUGGAAGUAGCGGAGUUCGGUUGUGUUUGAGCACCCCUAACUCCACCCUCAUUGUCCCCACGGAUAGUUUUUCC
rnacentral:lncRNA from 1 species